rnacentral:sRNA from 1 species
GACAUUUCUAUAUAAAUGGAAAAACUAAAACACAAAUCUAUAAGUGAAUAUUCAUAGAAU